rnacentral:rRNA from 1 species
AAUGAACGCUGGCGGCGCGCCUAAUACAUGCAAGUCGAGCGAGAAGACGUAGCAAUACGUUUGUAAAGCGGCGAACGGGUGAGGAAUACAUGGGUAACCUACCCUCGAGUGGGGAAUAACUAGCCGAAAGGUUAGCUAAUACCGCGUACGCUCCUUGGACUUCGGUUCAGGGAGGAAAGCGAUACCGUGGGUAUCGCGCUCUUGGUUGGGCUCAUGUCCUAUCAGCUUGUUGGUGAGGUAACGGCUCACCAAGGCUUCGACGGGUAGCUGGUCUGAGAGGACGAUCAGCCACACUGGCACUGCGACACGGGCCAGACUCCUACGGGAGGCAGCAGUAAGGAAUAUUG